rnacentral:tRNA from 1 species
GGCACUAUGGCGGAGUGGUUAACGCGGUGCCCUGCUAAGGCAUUUCCUUCGGGAGCGCAGGUUCGAAUCCUGCUGGUGUCG